UAAAAAAAGGUAAGCUACUAAGAGCGAAUGGUGGAUGCCUUGACUGGUAAAGGCGAUGAAGGACGUACUAGACUGCGAUAAGCUACGGGGAGCUGUCAAGAAGCUUUGAUCCGUAGAUUUCCGAAUGGGGCAACCCAAUGUAUAGAGAUAUACAUUACCUAUAUAGGAGCGAACGAGGGGAAUUGAAACAUCUUAGUACCCUCAGGAAAAGAAAUCAAUAGAGAUUGCGUCAGUAGCGGCGAGCGAAAGCGCAAGAGGGCAAACCCAGUGCUUGCACUGGGGGUUGUAGGACUGCAAUGUGCAAGAGCUGAGUUUAGCAGAACAUUCUGGAAAGUAUAGCCAUAGAGGGUGAUAGUCCCGUAUGCGAAAAACAAAGCUUAGCUAGCAGUAUCCUGAGUAGGGCGGGACACGAGGAAUCCUGUCUGAAUCCGGGUCGACCACGAUCCAACCCUAAAUACUAAUACCAGAUCGAUAGUGCACAAGUACCGUGAGGGAAAGGUGAAAAGAACUGAGGUGAUCAGAGUGAAAUAGAACCUGAAACCAUUUGCUUACAAUCAUUCAGAGCACUAUGUAGCAAUACAGUGUGAUGGACUGCCUUUUGCAUAAUGAGCCUGCGAGUUGUGGUGUCUGGCAAGGUUAAGCAAACGCGAAGCCGUAGCGAAAGCGAGUCUGAAUAGGGCGCUUAGUCAGAUGCUGCAGACCCGAAACGAAGUGAUCUAUCCAUGAGCAAGUUGAAGCUAGUGUAAGAACUAGUGGAGGACUGAACCCAUAGGCGUUGAAAAGCCCCGGGAUGACUUGUGGAUAGGGGUGAAAGGCCAAUCAAACUUCGUGAUAGCUGGUUCUCUCCGAAAUAUAUUUAGGUAUAGCGUUGUGUCGUAAUAUAAGGGGGUAGAGCACUGAAUGGGCUAGGGCAUACACCAAUGUACCAAACCCUAUCAAACUCCGAAUACCUUAUAUGUAAUCACAGCAGUCAGGCGGCGAGUGAUAAAAUCCGUCGUCAAGAGGGAAACAACCCAGACUACCAGCUAAGGUCCCUAAAUCUUACUUAAGUGGAAAACGAUGUGAAGUUACUUAAACAACCAGGAGGUUGGCUUAGAAGCAGCCAUCCUUUAAAGAAAGCGUAAUAGCUCACUGGUCUAGUGAUUUUGCGCGGAAAAUAUAACGGGGCUAAAGUAAGUACCGAAGCUGUAGACUUGCACACAACUUAGAUUAUUUAAGUUUAGAAUAUGAGAAACUAAGUUAUAUGUUUAGUUAUAUUUUUACUGAUUUUUAUAGAGUAAAGAUAGAAAUAAAACUUAGUAAAAUCAGUAAAAAUAUUCUUAGGCUAAAGUUAAGUAGUUUAAGUUGUGUGCAAGUGGUAGGAGAGCGUUCUAUUUGCGUCGAAGGUAUACCGGUAAGGAGUGCUGGAGCGAAUAGAAGUGAGCAUGCAGGCAUGAGUAGCGAUAAUUAAUGUGAGAAUCAUUAACGCCGUAAACCCAAGGUUUCCUACGCGAUGCUCGUCAUCGUAGGGUUAGUCGGGUCCUAAGUCGAGUCCGAAAGGGGUAGACGAUGGCAAAUUGGUUAAUAUUCCAAUACCAACAUUAGUGUGCGAUGGAAGGACGCUUAGGGCUAAGGGGGCUAGCGGAUGGAAGUGCUAGUCUAAGGUUGUAGGAGGUUAUACAGGCAAAUCCGUAUAACAAUACUCCGAGAACUGAAAGGCUUUUUGAAGUCUUCGGAUGGAUAGAAGAACCCCUGAUGCCGUCGAGCCAAGAAAAGUUUCUAAGUUUAGCUAAUGUUGCCCGUACCGUAAACCGACACAGGUGGGUGGGAUGAGUAUUCUAAGGCGCGUGGAAGAACUCUCUUUAAGGAACUCUGCAAAAUAGCACCGUAUCUUCGGUAUAAGGUGUGCCUCCCUUUGUAUUAGAAUUCACUUCGAAAGCAAAGAAGGUUACAACAAAGAGUCCCUCCCGACUGUUUACCAAAAACACAGCACUCUGCUAACUCGUAAGAGGAUGUAUAGGGUGUGACGCCUGCCCGGUGCUCGAAGGUUAAUUGAUGGGGUUAGCAUUAGCGAAGCUCUUGAUCGAAGCCCGAGUAAACGGCGGCCGUAACUAUAACGGUCCUAAGGUAGCGAAAUUCCUUGUCGGUUAAAUACCGACCUGCAUGAAUGGCGUAACGAGAUGGGAGCUGUCUCAAAGAGGGAUCCAGUGAAAUUGUAGUGGAGGUGAAAAUUCCUCCUACCCGCGGCAAGACGGAAAGACCCCGUGGACCUUUACUACAGCUUGACACUGCUAUUUGGAUAAGAAUGUGCAGGAUAGGUGGGAGGCUUUGAGUAUAUGACGCCAGUUGUAUAUGAGCCAUUGUUGAGAUACCACUCUUUCUUAUUUGGGUAGCUAACCAGCUUGAGUUAUCCUCAAGUGGGACAAUGUCUGGUGGGUAGUUUGACUGGGGCGGUCGCCUCCCAAAUAAUAACGGAGGCUUACAAAGGUUGGCUCAUAGCGGUUGGAAAUCGCUAGUAGAGUAUAAAGGUAUAAGCCAGCUUAACUGCAAGACAUACAAGUCAAGC
rnacentral:rRNA from 1 species